rnacentral:rRNA from 1 species
AGGGUUUGAUUCUGGCUCAGGAUGAACGCUGGCGGCGUGCUUAACACAUGCAAGUCGAGCGAAGCACCUUGACGGAUUUCUUCGGAUUGAAGCCUUGGUGACUGAGCGGCGGACGGGUGAGUAACGCGUGGGUAACCUGCCUCAUACAGGGGGAUAACAGUUGGAAACGGCUGCUAAUACCGCAUAAGCGCACAGUACCGCAUGGUACGGUGUGAAAAACUCCGGUGGUAUGAGAUGGCCUCGCGUCCGAUUAGCUAGUUGGUGAGGUAAUGGCCCACCAAGGCGACGAUCGGUAGCCGGACUGAGAGGUUGAACGGCCACAUUGGGACUGAGACACGGCCCAG